rnacentral:lncRNA from 1 species
AGGGCCAGAUUGUGAGAGUUGUGAGUCAAGGGCCAGACUGUGAGAGUUGUGAGCCGGGAUAAGCUUGGUGCUACCUCUUUUCUUUUGUUUGUUAUUUUCUUUGAAUAAGAGGAUUGAAAGUUUUUGAAUAUUGUGAAGUGAAUUAUAGAAUGGAAAUGUGAUUGGUAUUAUUUGAGAAGAAGAAAGAUUGAAUGCUGAAAUCUAAUUGUAGUUCAGCAGAGUGAAUGAGUCUGUGUUUGUGUGAAACACUGUAAUAUGAAUGGCAGUUCUGUGUGAAGAAUUCCAGUGAUUGGAACGAGGGUAAUUGUGUGAUGAAAGCUGUGAGGGCGCAGUAUCACAGUAAGAGAUUAUGAGGGUGAAUAUAUUGGUGGAAAUAGCAGUUAUUGGUAUGACUGAAUUGCUGUAAAGAAGAGACCGAUAAAGUGGAGGAGAUUAUAGUUUCCUUGUGUGUUCAGAUAUUGAAAGUAGAGACGAUACAUUCAGGAGAUAAUUGAUUGUGUGACCCUAACGUGAAUGCUUAAGCAACUAGUCAUUCCCCGUGUUCGAAUCCCCCUAUACGAGUUUAUGCUGGAAGGUUUCUUCCAAAAUAAGUAAAACGAGCAAUCACAUUUUGGCACCGCUGUUAAGGAGUGAUAGUAGCUUUGAGUGUUAGGAAUUAAUUACCAAACGUGUGAAAAAAUUGGCAAUGGAAGACGAUUUCAGUAGUGUUUGAAGAAAGAGUAUGAUUAUUAAGAAUGAGAAUUUAACAGCAAAGAGAAUAAAGCAAUCAAAGAAAAGAACAGAGAGAUAGCAAGCAAGAAAUUUGUUGCGUAAUAAGCGAGAUCACAAAUUAAAAAAGAAGCAUCGAUAAAGUUAGAUUAAGCCAUGGUUGCAUGCAUGUUGGCAUAUUCGAUCGUACCCAGAAGACGAUCGACCUCUAAUAUUUUAGAAGUACAUACCAUUAAAGAAAUUGCCAAGAGCACUUGCGGGGAGCGCUGCUAAUAGUCCAACAAAUCUCUCGUAGCCGUUAACGGAAAACGAGGAAGGUACAGAAGAAUUAGAUACCCCAUUGGAUAUCUUCUCAAUUGAAAAUACGUUUGAUCCUAAUAAGACUGGUUCUGAAGAUCGGCAUAAAUCACUUGCUAAUAAAGACCAAUUCAGAGUAUAUCAAAACCUAUCGUUUUCACCUCAUAUUCAACCAGUAAAAUUAUUUGGAGAUAAUAAUAGUCAAUCGGGAAGGCCUGGAAGUCCGAAAAAGACUUUUGUGGGAGACAGUUUUCUUUUUAAUAAGAAAUUGAGCAGAACACCGGCAUCUUUAAUGACGUCCAGAGAACCAGCAGUUGUGAUUGCAGUUCAAAUGGGUGCAGUGGGUGAUCGAACAACUAAUGUCGUGCCAUUACCUACUUUUUGGGGUUUGCCAAGUGCGGAUCCAGAUCAACAUUUGUCUCAAUUCUUGACGACGUGUGUAGCCAGUAAUGGAAGAAUAGAAGAUAUUUGGCUGAGAUGGCUGCUAGGGACAUUGAAAGACACAACGUUUGUGUGGUAUAACCGCCAACCUGUGGGACAAUUUAUCAAUUGGAAGGCAUUGAAAAAUACAUUUUUAGCCCAUUUUCGACCAAUUGGUUUUGAAGAAUGUCUUACAGAAAAAUUAAUAAACAACAGAAUGGUACCAAGAAAAGCGAUACAGUCAUAUUAUGGUCGUGUAGCGGAUAUACUUUAAAAAUGGCCAAAUAACCAAAUGUCAGAAUCAUUUGUGUUGUCCAUAUUGGUUAAUAGACUACACCCACCAGAAUUGAAAAUAUUUGUAAAGGAGGCACAAUCAGCCACUAUUGCAUCAUCUCUUGAGCAAGCAAAAGUAUGGGAGGAAUAUCACUAUGACCAGAACUUAACAGUUGGAGCCACGAUGAUUCCAUCUCAAGAAGGUUAUCAAAUGAUAAAUAGGAAUGACGCAUCGUGAAGUUAUUUGGGAAGGAACGAUUAUGGUACAAUUCCACGGGGAAUAGUAGAUGUCGUUCCAUUGCAAGCUGUACCACCAUCAUCAUCACACCCGUAUGCACCUUAUUCUACGUAUCAAAAACCAAUACCUAUAAAGGAAUUACCAAAUGCAUUGGUAUCAAGGGAUCCUAAUGAGUCAUUGCUAUUAACAUUGACAAAAAAAAUGGAUGAAUUGGCUGUGAAUCUAGCCAAGGAUAAAGAAAAAAAGGCAUAAACCACCCAAUAUGAAUUCCAAUGUUUAGUGCAGCAAUUAUAAGCGGCAUGGUCAUUUAGUAACAGAAUGUCCUUCACCACCCCAAAUGACUAUACAAUAUACGUUUGGCGGGGGCAAGCAUAUUACUACCAACUGUUGGAAUUUACGAAAGCAACAACAACUCAAUAACCAGAUAAUGACUCAACCAAUUUCGUGGGAUGUCAAUCAAGUAUAGACAAAUAAUAGGUUUGGUUGGAAUGGAAAUCGAGCGAAUAAACAAAACAAGAAUUAUUCUAAUUUUUUCAACUCUGAAUUUCACCAAGAAGGUGUAUUCAAUACUCACAGAUUGGCGAUGAACCAACCAAGAUACCAUCAAUAUCCACCUAUGACGAAGCCAAUGCCAGACUCUACAUUAACAAUAGGUCAACCAGGAUCCUUUACUCAUCCGACAUGGAACAGACCUAGUCGUUAUAUACCAGUAGAGACACCCAUUCUCCUUGAAGGAGUUGCUCCAAUAUGUGGAAAUUGUAAGCAGUCUGGUCACACUUAUCAGUAAUGCAAUGUGCCCUUUAAUUAUAAUAACCGAGACCAACAAAUACAAACAAGCCAAUCGACAGAGGACAAAGGUCCUUUUCAACGAGACUCAUCAAUACAUCACGUCGAGGUGGUGAACGUAGUGCUUACUAGAGGCCAAUAAAAAGACAAGAAUUCAAUUCAAGACAUGGAUGAACCAAUCGCAGGAGAGCAAGUAGUGUCGUCCAUCGACCUAAAUGAACCAAUAUCAAUAUUGGGACGUAUACCAAUAUUGAGACCUCAACAUACUAAGGAACCCAAUUUAGUCCCACGUGUCAAUUUACUGGGACCAUCGAGAUCGAUCCCAACAGACCAAGUACCAAUACCUGUAUAGCACAAUAAAAGAUCUUACGCAUUAAAAGAACCUUUAGUGGUAAACAAGUUGACGAAGUUACCAACAGCAAUCCCAAUCGCCAAGAAGGAAUUGCUACCGAACGGAGUAAAAUUGAAAUCAAUGAAAUGCAAAAGAGCAUUGGAAAUUACUCUCAAUAUAGAAUCCUAUGACAUUCUGAGGGAUUUGGAUGUUAUUCAGCCUUCAAUUACAAUGAAGCAACUUUUGGCUGUAGCACCGAAAUAUCGAUAUACAUUGAAUUCAGUGUUAAUACGACAAAGAUCCCGCACUAAAGAAAUUCAUGAAGUUAGCUUAAACCCAAAUCCGGGAGCACCAACAAUCAAUGUAUCAAUCGAUGGCAUUUUAAUUCCAGGUGUACAAGUCCAUGGUGGCUAUAAUGUGAAUUUAAUGAACGCGGAUACAAUGGAGGACUUGGAUCUAAAGCAAUUCCUACCUACGACAUUGGUAUUAUGAAUGGCAGAUCAUAGCCAGAUUAAACCAAUAGAUAUCUUAUGGAGUGUUCAAACUAUGAUUGUCGGUAUUGCAUAUGAAAUCGACUAUAUCGUCUUUCGGUUACAACUUUCGACUUUAUUGUAUCCAAUUUUAUUGAAACGACCUUGGCUUUAUCAAAUAAAGGCCAAAAAUGAUUGGGAUCGGGGUACUUUGACAAUUGACAAAGACAGAGACAAAAUGGUGUUACAAAUGAACCCAGUACACUAUCACGCGGAGUCUCAAUUACCAGCAUCUGAAUUAAAGUCGGAUGAUGAGCUUAGCUCUGAUGACGAUGCAGUAGCAUCAAUUACGGAGGCGCCCGUGGAAGUAGCACUAUACCCUAGAGUGGUGUACCAAUGUGGAGAUCCGAGGGAGUACUUGAUAUACCCGAAGGACUUGGAAAACUCAGAUUAUGUUAGUACUGAUUGGAUGACCAAGUAUGAUGUGCACCAUAUUAGUACCUUGGACACAGGAUUCAGUACUUUAUAUAUGUCAAACUUAUCGACUAACUUUAAACCAGCGUGGAGGUUGAAACAGAACAUCGUUGUUGCACCUUUAUGUCAAACUAUCAACUUGGCGACCACAGCAGAACCUCAGACAAUUAAGGUCUACGAAGGUAUUAAGGAACAAGAGUUGACCUGCUGUACCAAAUUUUUCUUGCAUCAUAAAUCCGCUUUUGCUUGGACUUAUGAUGAUUUGAAAGGUAUUUCCACUGAAGUCUGUGAGCAUCGUAUCAUUUUAGAGGAGAAUGCUAAAUCGAUACGGCAGAGGCAACAUCGCCUUAAUCCUAAAUAUUUCCUCAUGGUGAAGGAGGAAUUGGAUAAGCUUCUUGCGGUUGAUUUUAUUUACUCGGUACCAAAUAGUGAGUGGGUUUCUCCAAUCGUGAUGGUACCGAAAAAGAAUGGAAAUUGUCAGGAUUUUUGGAAACUUAAUGCAACCACCAAGAAAGAUUACUUCUCAUUACCUUUCACGGACAGUAUGGGUAACAUAUUAGUAUUAUCACCAGGUAGUAAAAGAAUAGGAGUGGGGCACCAGUUAAAGUCAUUCUCUGGUGUUGUUUUGGGUUGGAUAGAGUGCCAUUUUCUUCUAUUUCUUGUGUUUUCGAGAGUAGUAGUUCCAGUUAAGAGUUAACAAUGAGGAGCCAAUCAAAGAAAGAGAACGCAUGGUGGAAACCCAUAGGCAAGAACUAUUCCAGACUCACAGUCAUUCAAUUUUGGAACUGGAAAAAGCGAAGGGUCAAUUGGUAAUGGAACGAGAAAAGAUCGAGUUAUUGGCGCAAGAGAUAUUAGUAUUGAAUGACCAAUACAGAUAUGAAACGGAGUGAUUAAGGGUUGAAAUUGAGGCCUUGAACGUCGAGGUGAUAAGAUUGGCAAAGGAUUUAGUCAAUAUUGAUCAAGCACAAGUAUUGACGUUGCCAGUUCCCGAAGUUCCAAAAGAGAGGAGUCACUUUCAGCACCAGUUGGAAUUGAAAGAUGCCCAAAUCUUGAAAUUCGAAGCUCAAGUCCGUGAACUGGGUGAGUACAAUGAAGACCUUCCAACUCAGUUGAGGCAAGAGCCAAUGGAAGGAUUGGAGGAGGACGAAGAUUUGCAGUUGGAACCAGAAUCGGUGGAACCAAUAACAGAUACUACAGCAAUUGAUUAAUUAGAUAGGCCAGAGGGAUCGCAAUUUUUGUAGAGUUUUGUUAGAUACUUUUUAGAUAGGUAUCAAUUGAAUGUUUGCGAGGAUGCUGCCAAGUUAGGAGUGGAGCUAUGUAGAAUAAGUAGUUAUUUUUAGAAUGUAGAUACCUAGUGUAUAGUAUAAACAGGGACAGAUAACUGCUGAAAAGGUGGUUCAGUAGGUAGAAUAGAUGAAUAGUCAAGAAAAGUAGUUAUCAUCUAUAGUAUAGGAGUUGGUAUCUCGGGGUAGUAUAAGGAGGAUGGAAGAGGGGAAGAAAAUGCCAGACUAUGAGAAUUGUGAGCCGAGGGCCAGACUAUGAGAGUUGUGAGUCGAGGGUCAGACUGUGAGAGUUGUGAGCUGGGGUAAACUUGGUGCUACCUCUUUUCUUUUGUUUGUUAUUUUCUUUGAAUAAGAGGAUUGAAAGUUUUUGAAUAUUGUGAAGUGAAUUAUAGAAUGGAAAUGUGAUUGGUAUUAUUUGAGAAGAAGAAAGAUUGAAUGCUGAAAUCUAAUUGUAGUUCAGCAGAGUGAAUGAGUCUGUGUUUGUGUGAAACACUGUAAUGUGAAUGGCAGUUCUGUGUGAAGAAUUCCAGUGAUUGGAACGAGGGUAAUUGUGUGAUGAAAGCUGUGAGGGCGCAGUAUCACAGUAAGAGAUUAUGAGGGUGAAUAUAUUGGUGGAAAUAGCAGUUAUUGGUAUGACUGAAUUGCUAUAAAGAAGAGAUCGAUAAAGUGAAGGAGGAGAUUAUAGUUUCUUUAUGUGUUCAG